rnacentral:rRNA from 1 species
GAAAAUAACUUAGUGGCGAACGGGUGAGUAACGCGUGAGUAACCUGCCCUGGAGUGGGGGACAACAGUUGGAAACGACUGCUAAUACCGCAUAAGCCCACGGCCCGGCAUCGGGCUGCGGGAAAAGGAUUUAUUCGCUUCAGGAUGGACUCGCGUCCAAUUAGCUAGUUGGUGAGGUAACGGCCCACCAAGGCGACGAUUGGUAGCCGGACUGAGAGGUUGAACGGCCACAUUGGGACUGAGACACGGCCCAGACUCCUACGGGAGGCAGCAGUGGGGGAUAUUGCACAAUGGGGGAAACCCUGAUGCAGCGACGCCGCGUGGAGGAAGAAGGUUUUCGGAUUGUAAACUCCUGUCGUUAGGGACGAUAAUGACGGUACCUAACAAGAAAGCACCGGCUAACUACGUGCCAGCAGCCGCGGUAAAACGUAGGGUGCAAGCGUUGUCCGGAAUUACUGGGUGUAAAGGGAGCGCAGGCGGACCGGCAAGUUGGAAGUGAAAACUAUGGGCUCAACCCAUAAAUUGCUUUCAAAACUGCUGGCCUUGAGUAGUGCAGAGGUAGGUGGAAUUCCCGGUGUAGCGGUGGAAUGCGUAGAUAUCGGGAGGAACACCAGUGGCGAAGGCGACCUACUGGGCACCAACUGACGCUGAGGCUCGAAAGCAUGGGUAGCAAACAGGAUUAGAUACCCUGGUAGUCCAUGCCGUAAACGAUGAUUACUAGGUGUUGGAGGAUUGACCCCUUCAGUGCCGCAGUUAACACAAUAAGUAAUCCACCUGGGGAGUACGACCGCAAGGUUGAAACUCAAAGGAAUUGACGGGGGCCCGCACAAGCAGUGGAGUAUGUGGUUUAAUUCGAAGCAACGCGAAGAACCUUACCAGGUCUUGACAUCCGAUGCAUAGUGCAGAGAUGCAUGAAGUCCUUCGGGACAUCGAGACAGGUGGUGCAUGGUUGUCGUCAGCUCGUGUCGUGAGAUGUUGGGUUAAGUCCCGCAACGAGCGCAACCCUUAUUGCCAGUUACUACGCAAGAGGACUCUGGCGAGACUGCCGUUGACAAAACGGAGGAAGGUGGGGAUGACGUCAAAUCAUCAUGCCCUUUAUGACCUGGGCUACACACGUACUACAAUGGCGUUUAACAAAGAGAAGCAAGACCGCGAGGUGGAGCAAAACUCAAAAACAACGUCUCAGUUCAGAUUGCAGGCUGCAACUCGCCUGCAUGAAGUCGGAAUUGCUAGUAAUCGCGGAUCAGCAUGCCGCGGUGAAUACGUUCCCGGGCCU